UUCUAAUAGUUCUCAUCCUGGAUGGAAGUUAUCACUGUUGACAGAAAACCUCAGGGGGUGGAGAAGAUAGUAAGUAGUCUUCCAAAGUGAAGGAUUAUGUGUGUUUCCAGCCAUCUGGAAGUUCAGAAACUGAUGAUUUAUCUUCAAAGCAGAGGAUUUAUCUUCAAAAAGGAAAAGUCACAUAGCUGCGUCACACUUUGCCUACCUGUUGAAAUCCUAUUUCGUUCCUUAGGAUUAUACCCCAGGAUUAUGCAGAGAAGAGGCAAGGAGAUGAUUUUAUGAAAUCCUUCAGCAUUACUUCACAUCCAUCAUUCGUAAAUGAUGGUGGAGAAUCUGGUGGUGGCCUGGGAUGCCAUGGAUCAUGCUGAUUCCUAUGAUUUAGCCCUGAAGGAAUGCCACUGGUGUGCUUCAGCUCCCCUCCCACGCCCCAGAAUGUGCCGUGGUGCCACAGCCUUCUCCCAGUCCUGGGACAUGCCAGAAGGGAUGAGGAGUUGUGCACAGAUCGCGCUUGUUCAGAUGAUCACAGUGAAGCAUGUCCCAAGAACAGCGUUGACUUCCAGCCUGUGCUUCUCAGGCUGGUAACAUAACCUUAACAGCAACGUUGCUGUCCACAACCAACAGUGAAGAGAAAUGCCAAGAGAGUCCUGUUAGGAUUGGAGGACAACAAAGACAGGGUGGUUUUUUUUGGUUUUUUUUUUUUUGGUUGGUUGGUUUUUUACAUUUUUAUUAGGACCUCAUGAUGUACACAUGAAAAAUUAAUUUCAGAACAUGAACUGCUCUUCAGAUGGCGCCAUUUAAAUCUGGAGGAUGUUAACAUUCCUGCUGCAUGACAAAGGUCCGCUACCCCCUGUGUUGAUACUCAUCCUGCUCAGAGGCAAUAACAUCUAAGGAUGAACAGAGGCUGUGGCACCAAAUCCUGCUUGAAGGCUACUUUCACAGAUUUAUC
rnacentral:lncRNA from 1 species